AAAGAUGGUUUUGCUAUCACUUCUGGAUGGACCCGCGGCGCAUUAGCUAGUUGGUGAGGUAACGGCUCACCAAGGCGAUGAUGCGUAGCCGACCUGAGAGGGUAAUCGGCCACAUUGGGACUGAGACACGGCCCAGACUCCUACGGGAGGCAGCAGUAGGGAAUCUUCCACAAUGGACGCAAGUCUGAUGGAGCAACGCCGCGUGAGUGAAGAAGGGUUUCGGCUCGUAAAGCUCUGUUGUUAAAGAAGAACGUGGGUGAGAGUAACUGUUCACCCAGUGACGGUAUUUAACCAGAAAGCCACGGCUAACUACGUGCCAGCAGCCGCGGUAAUACGUAGGUGGCAAGCGUUAUCCGGAUUUAUUGGGCGUAAAGCGAGCGCAGGCGGUCUUUUAAGUCUAAUGUGAAAGCCUUCGGCUCAACCGAAGAAGUGCAUUGGAAACUGGGAGACUUGAGUGCAGAAGAGGACAGUGGAACUCCAUGUGUAGCGGUGAAAUGCGUAGAUAUAUGGAAGAACACCAGUGGCGAAGGCGGCUGUCUGGUCUGUAACUGACGCUGAGGCUCGAAAGCAUGGGUAGCGAACAGGAUUAGAUACCCUGGUAGUCCAUGCCGUAAACGAUGAUUACUAAGUGUUGGAGGGUUUCCGCCCUUUCAGUGCUGCAGCUUAACGCAUUAAGUAAUCCGCCUGGGGAGUACGACCGCAAGGUUGAAACUCAAAAGAAUUGACGGGGGCCCGCACAAGCGGUGGAGCAUGUGGUUUAAUUCGAAGCUACGCGAAGAACCUUACCAGGUCUUGACAUCUUCUGCCAACCUAAGAGAUUAGGCGUUCCCUUCGGGGACAGAAUGACAGGUGGUGCAUGGUUGUCGUCAGCUCGUGUCGUGAGAUGUUGGGUUAAGUCCCGCAACGAGCGCAACCCUUAUUACUAGUUGCCAGCAUUCAGUUGGGCACUCUAGUGAGACUGCCGGUGACAAACCGGAGGAAGGUGGGGACGACGUCAAAUCAUCAUGCCCCUUAUGACCUGGGCUACACACGUGCUACAAUGGAUGGUACAACGAGUUGCGAAACCGCGAGGUUUAGCUAAUCUCUUAAAAC
rnacentral:rRNA from 1 species